UACUGAUACUGUAAGACCCCCUUUUGGGGACCCCCACUCUAGUCUUGGGAUAGAGAGUGCACCCAAAGAAAUAUGAGAUUCU
rnacentral:pre_miRNA from 7 species